GCCUGGAUGGCUUAGUUGGUUAAGCGUCUGACUUUGGUUCUGGUCACGAUCUCAGUUUGUGAGUUCGAGCCCCACAUUGGGCU
rnacentral:tRNA from 1 species